rnacentral:rRNA from 1 species
GUGUCAGCAGCCGCGGUAAGACGUAGGGGGUCAGCGUUGUUCGGAACUACUGGGUGUAAAGGGUUCGUAGGCGGUGUGGCAAGUUGGGUGUGAAAUCUCUGGGCUCAACCCAGAGACUGCUUCCAAAACUGCUGUGCUUGAGUGUGAGAGAGGCUCGUGGAAUUGCAGGUGUAGCGGUGAAAUGCGUAGAUAUCUGCAGGAACACCCGUGGCGAAAGCGGCGAGCUGGACCACUACUGACGCUGAAGAACGAAAGCUAGGGGAGCAAACAGGAUUAGAAACCCUCGUAGUCC